AUUGAACGCUGGCGGCAUGCUUUACACAUGCAAGUCGAACGGUAACAGGCCUUCGGGUGCUGACGAGUGGCGCACGGGUGAGUAAUGCAUCGGAACGUACCCAGAGGUGGGGGAUAACGCAGCGAAAGCUGUGCUAAUACCGCAUGUGAUCUGAGGAUGAAAGCGGGGGACCGAGCAGCAAUGUUUGGCCUCGCGCCUUUGGAGCGGCCGAUGUCGGAUUAGCUAGUUGGUGGGGUAAAGGCCUACCAAGGCGACGAUCCGUAGCUGGUCUGAGAGGACGACCAGACACACUGGGACUGAGACACGGCCCAGACUCCUACGGGAGGCAGCAGUGGGGAAUUUUGGACAAUGGGCGCAAGCCUGAUCCAGCAAUGCCGCGUGCGGGAAGAAGGCCUUCGGGUUGUAAACCGCUUUUGGCAGGAACGAAACGGUGUCCGCUAAUACCGGGCGCUAAUGACGGUACCUGCAGAAUAAGCACCGGCUAACUACGUG
rnacentral:rRNA from 1 species